CCAGCAUCCCCGCUCUGCUGAAAUAGCCACUGGAGAAGGAAGGGAAGGAGAGGGGGGGGAGAAGAGGACACGGGGAAGAAAGAGAAAGGUAAAAGCAAGCAGAGCCUUAUAGCCCACCGUACUACUUCAUCAGCAUCAGGCUAGAAAAGUGGGGGGGAGAUCCACCCCUUUGCGAGAGGAUUCGGAGACAAAGGAAGCUUCAUGUUCAAAGGACCAGUGGAGACCAAAAACGAAGCAGCCAUGUCUGAGCUGGUACCAGAGCCACGACAAAAACCAGUCGUGCCGAUGAAACCCGUGGGCAUCAAUGCCAGCUUGCUGGGCUACAUCGGUAUUGACACCAUCAUUGAGCAGAUGCGCAAGAAAACCAUGAAGACGGGUUUUGACUUCAACAUCAUGGUUGUAGGUCAGAGCGGACUGGGAAAAUCAACGUUGGUGAACACACUCUUCAAAUCCCAGGUGAGCCGCAAAUCUUCAGGCUGGAACCGGGAGGAGAAGAUCCCCAAGACAGUGGAGAUCAAAGCCAUUGGGCAUGUCAUUGAAGAAGGUGGUGUCAAAAUGAAGCUGACAGUGAUUGACACACCAGGAUUUGGGGACCAGAUCAACAAUGAGAACUGCUGGGAACCUAUUGAGAAAUACAUCAAUGAGCAGUAUGAAAAAUUUUUGAAAGAGGAGGUGAAUAUUGCAAGGAAGAAACGAAUUCCAGACACGCGAGUGCACUGCUGCCUCUACUUCAUCUCUCCUACAGGCCACUCCUUGCGGCCUUUGGACCUGGAAUUUAUGAAACAUCUCAGCAAGGUAGUGAACAUCAUCCCAGUUAUUGCCAAGGCUGACACCAUGACCUUGGAGGAGAAGACUGAAUUCAAGCAAAGAGUGCGCAAAGAACUUGAAGUAAAUGGGAUCGAGUUUUAUCCCCAGAAAGAAUUUGAUGAGGACUUGGAGGAUAAAACAGAGAACGACAAAAUCAGGCAGGAAAGCAUGCCCUUUGCAGUAGUGGGCAGCGACAAGGAGUAUCAGGUGAAUGGCAAAAGAGUCCUGGGCAGGAAAACACCUUGGGGAAUCAUUGAAGUGGAAAACCUCUCUCACUGUGAAUUUGCUCUACUUCGAGAUUUUGUCAUCAGGACCCACCUUCAGGACCUAAAAGAAGUGACCCACAACAUCCACUAUGAGACCUAUAGGGCCAAACGGCUGAAUGACAAUGGAGGGCUGCCCCCCAUGACUGUCGAGACAGAGGAAAACCACGAAAGUAACCUGUGAAUGAUCCUCCCCCCCGCUGUCACCCGGUGUCUCCGGAUAUGACAUCCCACCCCUGCUAUCCUUGACUCUGCCAUGGGCCUGUCUCUGAAGCAUGUGGCACAUCCUCCGUGGGCGUGAGAGGAUGCAAGUAUCAUGGACUACUUCUAAAGGAUCUGUAAAAGCUCGCUGAGAAAAGCAAGCUCAGGUAUUCCUCACUGCCAGCUGCUCAUGCCAAUAUCCUACGGUCAACUGUGUAUCUACCAGGAAGUCUACAAAUGGCAAAUACAAAAAAAAUCCCCACAUUGCACGACAACGGGAGAUACUGUGGGGAAGAAGUCUCUGUCGAUGGAUAAGCUGGGAAAAGCCUGAAUCGUGAGCCACCAGCUGAGUUUCCAGGAUGACCACAGCAAGCCAGCUGUUCCCCCGAGAUAUCCCCUUAACGAUAUCACAGAGGGGCAGAGUCGAAACUUAGUACCACAGGUGCCCACUCAGCGCGUUCAGAGACUCGCAAACUCUUCACCACACACGCCGUUCGCCGGAAGAACUUUGCCAAGCGCACGGCAAACCCUGGACAGCGUCCCCUGAGGCCAGGUUGCGCGGAGCAGAGCGGGCGGGCAGAGCGGGCGGGGCUGCGCGGUGUCCGCCAUUAAACCCUCCCGGCGCCGCC